UGGGGAAUAUUGCACAAUGGGCGCAAGCCUGAUGCAGCAACGCCGCGUGAACGAUGAAGGUCUUCGGAUCGUAAAGUUCUGUUGCAGGGGAAGAUAAUGACGGUACCCUGUGAGGAAGCCCCGGCUAACUACGUGCCAGCAGCCGCGGUAAUACGUAGGGGGCUAGCGUUAUCCGGAUUUACUGGGCGUAAAGGGUGCGUAGGUGGUCUUUCAAGUCGGUGGUUAAAGGCUACGGCUCAACCGUAGUUAGCCUCCGAAACUGGAAGACUUGAGUGAAGGAGAGGAAAGUGGAAUUCCUAGUGUAGCGGUGAAAUGCGUAGAUAUUAGGAGGAAUACCGGUGGCGAAGGCGACUUUCUGGACUUUUACUGACGCUCAGGUACGAAAGCGUGGGGAGCAAACAGG
rnacentral:rRNA from 1 species